rnacentral:lncRNA from 1 species
GCAUCCCUGUCAUAUUCAAGAGCUCUUUAACUAGAAAGUAUAUUGAGAAUGAAUGACAUAAAAAUGAGCCACAAAGAUUUUUCUUCCUUGGUGUUACCACAAAAGCAAUUAAGGGCCUUUUUGUUUUAAUAUCAAUAUAUUCUCUGUUCUUACUUGGAAUCACAAAAAUGUUAUCUUAUUUUUGUAUUUAUAGAUGGGAGAAAAAAAAAAUGAAACAAACAGAAUUUUUUUCCUUAAACCGAACAACU